AAAUAGCCCUGAUGGGAGCGGUAUCCCUUUUGGGCAAGACAAAAUUGUUUAUGAAAACAGUAUUUCCCAAAAGGAUAAAACGUACAGCGGACGGAAC
rnacentral:sRNA from 1 species